rnacentral:rRNA from 1 species
AGCCUAUAGUUGGUAUUAUAGGUAUAGCCUGCCCUAUGCAAAUAGUAAAUGGCCGCAGAACUUUAACUGUGCUAAGGUAGCAUAAUUAUUUGUCUUUUAAAUGAAGACUGUAUGAAUGGCUUCAUGGGAUUAUACUGUCUUAAUUAGGCUGAUUAAAAUUUAAUAAAAAGGUGAAAAUACCUUUAUAAUAAAAAAAGACGAGAAGACCCUAAGAGUUUUAAUUAAAAGAAAUAUAUUUCUUAAAUUUUUGUUGGGGCAACAUAGGAGUCACCCUCCUUUUUAUUACAAGAAAUUAUUUAGAGAGCAUUAAACUACCUUAGGGAUAACAGCACAAUCUGUAAUCAGGCUUGUGACCUCGAUGUUGGACUAGGAUUUGUUUUCUUCAGAAGAGAAAAGCUAUAGCUCUGUUCGAGCAAAUGAUUCCU